GUUUAACAGAAAUUCAAACUAGUGUAAAACACAUGGAGUAAUGGUGGCAGAAUUGUAAACUAUCCUUUUAAAUAUUUUAUUCUGAGACUUAUUUAUAUGUGUCUUGUCUUUUGCCAUAUUGUCUUUCUAGCUCAGAUUGUGAUGGACCUGGAAUGUGACACCAGUUACUCUUAAGUCAAGAACCGAAUAAAGCACAGAUGUGGAGGGAUCUGCAACUAAACUAACUGGAGGAAAGGAACCUUUAGUGUGGGUGAACAUACUACCUUGAUGUCCAACAAAGGCUGCACAAGAGCUCAUUUGAUAUUACAUAUUCUGUCCUGUCUACAUCUUUGAUGAAGUGCUUCGACAUCAG
ensembl:processed_transcript